GACGAACGCUGGCGGCGUGCUUAACACAUGCAAGUCGAACGGAAAGGCCCUGCUUUUGUGGGGUGCUCGAGUGGCGAACGGGUGAGUAACACGUGAGUAACCUGCCCUUGACUUUGGGAUAACUUCAGGAAACUGGGGCUAAUACCGGAUAGGAGCUCCUGCUGCAUGGUGGGGGUUGGAAAGUUUCGGCGGUUGGGGAUGGACUCGCGGCUUAUCAGCUUGUUGGUGGGGUAGUGGCUUACCAAGGCUUUGACGGGUAGCCGGCCUGAGAGGGUGACCGGCCACAUUGGGACUGAGAUACGGCCCAGACUCCUACGGGAGGCAGCAGUGGGGAAUAUUGCACAAUGGGCGGAAGCCUGAUGCAGCAACGCCGCGUGCGGGAUGACGGCCUUCGGGUGGUAAACCGCUUUCGCCUGUGACGAAGCGUGAGUGACGGUAAUGGGUAAAGAAGCACCGACUAACUACGU
rnacentral:rRNA from 1 species